rnacentral:rRNA from 1 species
GCCAGCGUGGACAUGUGUUAAUUGGAGCAACGCGCAGAACCUUACCAGCCCUUGACAUCCCGGUCGCGGACUCCAGAGACGGAGUUCUUCAGUUCGGCUGGACCGGAGACAGGUGCUGCAUGGCUGUCGUCAGCUCGUGUCGUGAGAUGUUGGUUAAGUCCCGCAACGAGCGCAACCCCCGUCCUUAGUUGCUACCAUUUAGUUGAGCACUCUAAGGAGACUGCCGGUGAUAAGCCGCGAGGAAGGUGGGGAUGACGUCAAGUCCUCAUGCCCUUACGGGCUGGCUACACACGUGCUUACAAUUGGCGGUGACAAUGGAUGCUAAGGGGCGACCUUUCGCAAAUCUCAAAAAGCCGUCUCAGUUCGGAUUGGGCUCUGCAACUCGAGCCCAUGAAGUUGGAAUCGCUAGUAAUCGUGGAUCAGCACGCCACGGUGAAUACGUUCCCGGGCCUUGUACACACCGCCCGUCACACCAUGGGAGUUGGUUUUACCUGAAGACGGUGCGCUAACCGAAAGGGGGCAGCCGGCCACGGUAGGGUCAGCGACUGGGGUGAAGUCGUAACAAGGUAGCCGUA